AUACGGGAGGCAGCAGUGGGGAAUCUUGGACAAUGGGGGAAACCCUGAUCCAGCCAUGCCGCGUGAGUGAUGAAGGCCUUCGGGUUGUAAAGCUCUUUUGUAUGGGAAGAUAAUGACUGUACCAUAAGAAUAAGCCCCGGCUAACUUCGUGCCAGCAGCCGCGGUAAUACGAAGGGGGCUAGCGUUGUUCGGAAUUACUGGGCGUAAAGGGUGCGUAGGUGGUUAUGUAAGUCAGAAGUGAAAGCCCUGGGCUCAACCCGGGAAUUGCUUUUGAAACUAUAUAGCUAGAGUUCGAGAGAGGUAAGUGGAAUAUCCAGUGUAGAGGUAAAAUUCGUAGAUAUUGGAUGGAACACCGGUGGCGAAGGCGGCUUACUGGCUCGAUACUGACACUGAGGCACGAAAGCGUGGGGAGCAAACAGGAUUAGAUACCCUGGUAU
rnacentral:rRNA from 1 species